AUGCACGCUGGCGGCGUGCCUCAUACAUGCCAGUCGAGCGAACAGAUGAGGAGCUUGCUCCUCUGACGUUAGCGGCGGACGGGUGAGUAACACGUGGAUAACCUACCUAUAAGACUGGGAUAACUUCGGGAAACCGGAGCUAAUACCGGAUAAUAUAUUGAACCGCAUGGUUCAAUAGUGAAAGACGGUUUUGCUGUCACUUAUAGAUGGAUCCGCGCCGCAUUAGCUAGUUGGUAAGGUAACGGCUUACCAAGGCAACGAUGCGUAGCCGACCUGAGAGGGUGAUCGGCCACACUGGAACUGAGACACGGUCCAGACUCCUACGGGAGGCAGCAGUAGGGAAUCUUCCGCAAUGGGCGAAAGCCUGACGGAGCAACGCCGCGUGAGUGAUGAAGGUCUUCGGAUCGUAAAACUCUGUUAUUAGGGAAGAACAGAUGUGUAAGUAACUAUGCACGUCUUGACGGUACCUAAUCAGAAAGCCACGGCUAACUACGUG
rnacentral:rRNA from 1 species